CCCUUAGAUGUUCUGGGCUGCACGCGCGCUACACUGAUGCGCUCAACGAGUUUUAACCUUGCCUGGAAAGGUUGGGUAAUCUUUUUAAAACGCAUCGUGAUGGGGAUAGAUUAUUGCAAUUAUUAAUCUUCAACGAGGAAUUCCUAGUAAGCGCGAGUCAUCAGCUCGUGCUGAUUACGUCCCUGCCCUUUGUACACACCGCCCGUCGCUCCUACCGAUCGAAGAGUUAGGUGAAUUGUUUUGAUCGAUAAGAUUUGACUAUGGUCAACUCUCGUUGGGAAAUUCUGUGAAUCUGACUGUUUAGAGGAAGGAAAAGUCGUAACA
rnacentral:rRNA from 1 species